GCAAACUUGGUCAUUUAGAGGAAGUAAAAGUCGUAACAAGGUAUCCGUAGGUGAACCUGCGGAUGGAUCAUUACCAAUUUUAUAUUAUUAGUUUGUGACUCUCCGUCAAACGAGGGCUCACACAACUACUACUGUAAACGUUGAACUAGAUCAUUGGUUGUGGAUUGCUUGGGAAUGGACGAAGCGACAAGCCUCUUCCGGACAGGCAAACCCCACACACCGAUAACCUUUUCAUAUAUUACAACUAGUACAUACUACAAACAAACAAACAAACAAACAAAAGCUAUAAUAGGAUUUAUAUACGAGUUGAGUGGGUAAAAGCCUCGACUCUUUAAAAAUAACUAUUACAACUUUCAGCAAUGGAUCUCUAGGCUCUCGCAUCGAUGAAGAACGCAGC
rnacentral:misc_RNA from 1 species